AGAAAGAGAACACUUUAUAAUACAGGAGGUAGAAUGCCUCCUCAGUGAAAGAGACAACCCAGAAUACUCUCUACACUCAUUGUUCUUAAGAGGGUGCCUGAGUCUUUUUAGAUUGAAGCAGAUAAAAAUUGACAGUAUCUGAUUGUUCUAAUCAGUGAACAGCAACUGCGAUGGCUCAGCCCACCAACGCAGAGUUCUCACUGUAAAGGGGGAGGGAGUCUACAGCCCAUGGUGUGCAUCAAUUAAGCCAUCCGCUCACCCCCUCCUUGCUGAGGGCACCGACCUGCCAACAUCAUCACCUCACGGAGCAGAGGGCAGAAGUGGAUGCCAGAAUUACAGCCGCGUGUCCACGCACACUCUGGCACAUAAACCUGGCUCUUAAAACAGUAACGGUGUUGCUCUUGAAAGUUGCACUCUGGCAACAGUGUACACUCUCACAGGCAUUGUGGCAAGAAGUGGCUGUUGCUGAAUAAACAUUUUCCCCUAUUCGCUACUUGAUAAAUCCUUUCUGAUGACAAGAGCUACUUGUGGGAGAAUAGAAAUCUAAGGAUUAAAGGAACAUGAGGUUCCUCCACCUGGAGACUGCUCUGCUGACAUUAGUAUCCCAUCAAGCCCCCACUGAAGUUCAAACUAAACCAGUGAAUUUUACAAGCAGGAGCCUCACACAGUACAAACAGAAGGAAACGCAGAGCUCUGGCCACUCUUUCAAGAAGUUUGUUUCACGGCUGCAGGCCUGCAAUCUAUGCCUGUCUACACCAGGAGGACUUGAAAUGAGGGCGAGAACUGCCAGUUCUCAUCCCACGAUGCUACUCGGGCAGUGAGCAGGAAAUCAAGACUGGACCAGUCAUAACCCACUUUGUUGAAAAACUUCACACAACUCCUUGGGGAACAGAAAUUUCAGAUAGUAUUAAGGGAACAGAACAGGGUGUCAGAGGUACGAAGACAGAGAAAAGAUAAGUGGUCACUGGGUGAUCAUCUCCUCUCUGUCCAGACGGAAAGAUUAUCGGACACAUACAAGUCCAGCACGGGGGACCCAUGGCUCCGUUCUGUCUGAGAACAUGUAUGAUGUAAGUGUAGGAAGGAGCCAGUUCUGCAUCCACCCUCAGAGCCCUCUAGAGGGAGAGACUGAGGUUAAGGGAGCACUCCCUGAGUGUCACCUUUCUCUGCACUGUUACAGAUCGUGGGGGACACUUCUAAAUAGAUAUUGUAUAAUGUAUGUUUUGCCUGCCCAUUCUAAAUUCCUCAAGGUUCCUGACAAACCACAGAUAUUUUAUGAGACCCAAGUGACAGGACUGACCUAGAAGUCACAGAAGGGAAGAAGAGAGAUGGCCCCAAGUACGAUAAAGGUACAGCUACACCCACAGACACCCAGAAGGGAGUUGUCCCUGCUUGAUACCCUCUUUGUCACCCAUAUUACAAAUAUCUUUUUCCUUACAAGAAAAGAAUAAAGAUGUAUUAUUGG
rnacentral:lncRNA from 1 species